GGUUAAGUGACUAAGCGUACACGGUGGAUGCCUAGGCAGUCAGAGGCGAUGAAGGGCGUGCUAAUCUGCGAUAAGCGUCGGUAAGGUGAUAUGAACCGUAAUAACCGGCGAUACCCGAAUGGGGAAACCCAGUGCAAUUCGUUGCACUAUCAUACGAUGAAUACAUAGUCGUAUGAGGCGAACCGGGGGAACUGAAACAUCUAAGUACCCCGAGGAAAAGAAAUCAACCGAGAUUCCCCCAGUAGCGGCGAGCGAACGGGGAGGAGCCCAGAACCUGAAUCAGUUUGUGUGUUAGUGGAAGCGUCUGGAAAGUCGCACGGUACAGGGUGAUAGUCCCGUACACCAAAAUGCACAGAUUGUGAGUUCGAUGAGUAAGGCGGGACACGUGACAUCCUGUCUGAAUAUGGGGGGACCAUCCUCCAAGGCUAAAUACUCCUGACUGACCGAUAGUGAACCAGUACCGUGAGGGAAAGGCGAAAAGAACCCCGGCGAGGGGAGUGAAACAGAACCUGAAACCGUGUACGUACAAGCAGUGGGAGCACCCUUUAUGGGUGUGACUGCGUACCUUUUGUAUAAUGGGUCAGCGACUUAUAUUUUGUAGCAAGGUUAACCGAAUAGGGGAGCCGUAGGGAAACCGAGUCUUAACUGGGCGUAUAGUUGCAAGGUAUAGACCCGAAACCCGGUGAUCUAGCCAUGGGCAGGUUGAAGGUUGGGUAACACUAACUGGAGGACCGAACCGACUAAUGUUGAAAAAUUAGCGGAUGACCUGUGGCUGGGGGUGAAAGGCCAAUCAAACCGGGAGAUAGCUGGUUCUCCCCGAAAGCUAUUUAGGUAGCGCCUCGUGAACUCAUCUUCGGGGGUAGAGCACUGUUUCGACUAGGGGGCCAUCCCGGCUUACCAACUCGAUGCAAACUCCGAAUACCGAAGAAUGUUAUCACGGGAGACACACGGCGGGUGCUAACGUCCGUCGUGAAGAGGGAAACAACCCAGACCGCCAGCUAAGGUCCCAAAGUCAUGGUUAAGUGGGAAACGAUGUGGGAAGGCACAGACAGCCAGGAUGUUGGCUUAGAAGCAGCCAUCAUUUAAAGAAAGCGUAAUAGCUCACUGGUCGAGUCGGCCUGCGCGGAAGAUGUAACGGGGCUAAACCAUGCACCGAAGCUGCGGCAGCGAUAUGAAAAUAUUGUUGGGUAGGGGAGCGUUCUGUAAGCCUG
rnacentral:rRNA from 1 species